CGCGACCCCAGGUCAGGCGGGGCUACCCGCUGAGUUUAAGCAUAUCAAUAAGCGGAGGAAAA
rnacentral:rRNA from 2 species